CCAGUGAUUUGAUUUUUCUUGGUGGAGUAAUAACCAUGUAUGUAGAUGAUGCUGUAAUCGCAGGUUUAUUGGUUGUUGGUGGUGCAAUUGCAUUCUUUAUCGGCUUUGGCAUCUUCAUUGUGAAGGAUAAACCUAAAAAAUAAUAUCAUUUCAAGUGGCUUGUUA
rnacentral:sRNA from 1 species